AAAAAAAAACCUCGAGUGAUGUGGCUGAAUACUGCAUAAUCUGAAGACUCUUCACUGAGGACUGUGCAGGUGGCUGAAAUCCUGGUUUGUUGUGGUUGGAUGAUACAUGACCUGAGGACUCCUGUACUGAUGACUGCAGAAUGGGUCCAGAAUUUUCCUAUACAUACAUUAAAAUACUAAGCACUCCAGAAGCAGUCAUUAAGCAGACAUCACACUUUGCUUACUUUGCUGUCUGUCACUGAGAUCACCAGGUGAGUUCAAAGACAUGCCUAUAUUCUAGGCAAGGGAAAUUAUAUUUGGGCCAGCUCAGGGCAAUGAUGUUGAACAGCUCUUAUAAGCUUCUGAUAACACCCAAGAAGUAGAGAAACUACUGUCUACAAAACUUUGAACUCAAGGCAUAUCACAGAAACAUUUGCUUUCUUCAACUAUAUCUGUUUUCUUAUAAGGAGAAAUAAUGAGAAAUGAUUUUUCACAAAGCCUGCCUUAGCCCUCAGGCCAAGCCAGCCCCUACUGCUGUGUCCCAACAUUUAAAGAUCAUUGAAGUCCAACUUCAUGCCAUAUAUUCUCAAGAGGUUUUCUUGUUUAACCCUCAGGACAGGUCUGUAAUGAUGGGUAUGGUUUAGUCCCAGUUCACAGAUGACCAAGCUCAGGCUCACAGAGCCUAAGUCACCUGCCCAGACCCUUCUUGACAGAGAAGUUCGAGAAUGGUGGUACCGUUGCGCCCUCUCAUGACAGAAGCCUGAACUACAGCUAGAACAUCGCGAGCAGGAAGGUGGGAGGGAGAGGCUGAGAGGCCCAAGCCCACCUUACAGAACUUUCGGAACUCUGGGUGGAAAAGCAGGCAUUCCCAGUAUUCUUAAGGAUAUUGAUGGGCUCAAGACAGAAAUCGUCUUCUCUUAGCUGAAAAGAGAGCUCUAUAUCAGAAGAAAAAAACGCUUCUUGAUAGAGGAGUUCGAUAACAGUUGUACCAUGGCGCCCUCUGGUGACAGAAGCCUGAACUACAGCUACAACAUUGCCGGCAGAAAGGUGGGAGGGAGAGGCUGUGGCCCAAGCCCACCUUAUAGAGCUUUCUGGAACUCUGCGUGGAAAAGUGGGCAUUCCAAGUAUUCCCAGGGAUAUUGAUGGGCUCAAGACCAUCAUUACGCCUUUUCAGCCUGGUUAGGAAACAUUGCUGGGGAACUAGUGCAGUGAUUUGGAGCUUCUAUAGUGAUGUUGGAAAAACAGUUUUCUAUGGAGUCUCAAAUGAAGACAGAAUGCAGAUGAAGAGGAGAGAGAAGUCACAUGCCCUUGACCCUCAUACCAGACCCAUUACCACCUACAGGACUCUGAACCAGGAUUUCAUUUGCACCAUUGGGUGUUUCAAGGUGGGAGGGGUUGUUGAAUGUGUAUCUACAAGGGCACAAUACUACAAACAUGUAAAACUACUAAGUUUUAAAUCCUAGAAUGUCAUGGUGUAUAAAAUAUUAAUACUUAUUGCUUUGGUUUGGAAUUAGGGGGAAAUGUAUCCUGGUAUACUUGGAAGUGGCUCCCUCAGUAGCUUUUGUUCUUACACUUCAGGGAUAUUCUCCAUUUUAAAUGUGUGUGUCUUUCCUGUGG